UGCCUAAACUUUACGGCAUUAGCAGUAAGGCAUGGCAUAAAAACCGAUCAAGGGCUGAAAGCUCCUCGUUAGAGCAUCCUUGAUCGGUUAUCGAUCGAAAGAUCGGUAGGUGGCGUAAGCCAUC
rnacentral:sRNA from 1 species